GACGAAUGCUGGCGGCGUGCUUAACACAUGCAAGUCGAACGAUGAAGGAGAGCUUGCUCUCCGGAUUAGUGGCGAACGGGUGAGUAACACGUGACUAACCUGCCCCUUUCUCUGGGAUAACGCUCCGAAAGGAGUGCUAAUCCCGGAUACGAACUCUGAACACAUGUUCGGAGUUGGAAAGUUUUUCGGAAAGGGAUGGAGUCGCGGCCGCUUAGCUAGUUGGUGAGGUAACGGCUCACCAAGGGGACGACGGGUAGCCGGCCUGAGAGGGUGACCGGCCACACUGGGACUGAGACACGGCCCAGACUCCUACGGGAGGCAGCAGUGGGGAAUAUUGCACAAUGGGCGCGAGCCUGAUGCAGCAACGCCGCGUGAGGGAUGACGGCCUUCGGGUUGUAAACCUCUUUUAGUAGGGAAGAAGCGAAAGUGACGGUACCUGCAGAAAAAGCACCGGCUAACUACGUGCCAGCAGCCGCCGUAA
rnacentral:rRNA from 1 species